UCUAUCCACUUUACGCAUGCGUCAGCGUUGCAUGAAUCUUCCAUACAUUGACUUUUAUCCCUUUUUAAUGCACAGUUUUGCUGCAGAACUACUAGAUUAUAGUUUACUACGUUGUUUACAUGUGAUGCGUUCAGCAGCUGAGCCUCUCUGCAGGGAAAGAGUCACUCUGCAGGAAACACCCCGGAAGUCUCAUCGUGCAGAGAAGCAGCAUGGCACCGGUGUGGAAUAACUUGUUGACGUUUUCCCUUCUCUACAAACAACCUGCGCAUUCUGCUAUCCCGUCAACAUUGAUGAGUGCAGAGUUUCUGGAACACAUCUGAGGACGGCCGGGUUUCUUCACUUCUUCUCUUCUUCCUCCACUCGUGGAUGGAUGAUUAGAGACUUUGGGGGAAACCUCAGAUUUAUGAACGUUCUGUCUGUUGGUUUGGCCAGAGAGGGCUGAGGGUCUUUCCCUGCGAGGAGGACCAGGCCUGAGGGAGGAGGACCUGCACCAGCUGCACCUACAGAACUUAGCCCAUGCUGGGCAUAGCUGUUACCACCUGCACAGGCCUAGCCUGUCACUUUAUUUGACAAAAUGUGUUUACUUAAUUAACAUCAAGGUGUAACUUAUGUAUAUUAUUUCGUUUUUAUUUUAAAAAACUGUGAUGGUUCAUGCUUGAUAACUUUCAGUUCACAUUUCAA